rnacentral:lncRNA from 1 species
AGGGAGCUGUACUACUGAGUGGCUACUGUGUGCAGAGCACUUUUCUGGGGACCCCCAAGGAGUGAAAAUCAUGAUCCCCAUCCUGGAGGACCUCCCGGGCUACCGCGGGGAAGACGAGGAAAGGACUGAGGGAUGCGUUGCAAGGCAGAGCCCCGCUGCACGGGGCUGAGGAUGUGGCUGGGGAGGGUGGGGGGCGUUUCCGCGGUGGGUGGGAGGGGAGAGGAGCCCAGCUGGGUCCCCUCCCGCUCCUCGCACCCACUGCUCUCAAGAGGUUGCAGGGACCUGGACCACCCCAUCCGCCCCCUCCCUCCCACCACGACCCCCUGCAACUCGCAGCAAUGCCGGUCCCGCUCCACCUGCUCCUCGCCUUGGUCCUUUCGGUCAGCCCAGGUAGAGUCCGGCCCCGGCCUCGGGACAAAGGCGGGGUGGGGAGGGGGCCGCGGGAAGGCGGGGAGGGUGGCAGGGAUGGGGGUGGAUCCCCCUGGUCCCCCCCAUCCGGGCUGGGGCAGAGCCGCCCCCUCCCACCCCCAGCCCUCCGGCCUGAGCCCCUUGUCCGGGGGCGGGGGGAGAUUUGUCCCCCCUCUCCCUCAAGCAUCGUGGCUCAAUGGCAAGAGCCCGCGCUUGGGAGUCAGAGGUCAUGGGUUCUAAUCCCGGCUCCGCCGCUUGUCAGCUGUGUGACUUUGGGCAAGUCACUUCACUUCUCGGGGCCUCAGUUCCUUCAUCUGGAAAAUGGGGAGGAAGCCCGUGAGCCCCUCGUGGGAUAACCUGAUUACCUUGUAUCUACCCCAGCGCUUAGAACAGUGUUCGGCGCAUAGUAAGCGCUUAACAAAUACUAACAUUAUUAUUCUUAUUCCCUCUUCCCAACCCAGCAGAGAAAAGCCCAGGGAGGAAAGGAGAUUCGUGGUGGGGGGAGGAGGAGGACGAAGUGGGGAGGGGGAGCCAACGGUUGGGAGGAGCAGGGUCGGGGGUGGGGGAACAGGGUCCUUCCCCAGGGUUGCCCGGGGGGCUCCAGGUCUGGCCGGGGCCGCCCCUCCGGUCCGGGCCCCCGAGGUCAGUCCCGUCCAACACCCCCCCACCCCAAGCCCGGGCCGGCGAGGCGCUGACCCUGGACGGGGGCCAAGGGGACCCGGCCAGCCGAUGCAGAGAGGCCGGGGACCACCUGGGAGAGGGCACCGCCCCCUGCCACCUCGCCCCGGGCCUCCAGAGCAAAGAACCGUUUAUCAAGUGUGUGACCUGCAAGAUGGUGGUGCAGAAGAUAGUGGCCUCCGUCGGAGAAGACCCCACCCCCGAGAACAUUAAGGAAGCGGGAAGCAAGGUCUGUACCCGAUUGGGCCGCUUCCUGCGCCGCGUCUGCAAGAAGUUCAUUAAGAAGUUCCUCGACAUGAUCACCCAGGGCAUUCAGGAGGGCAAGGAGGCCAAGGAGAUUUGUGUGGACAUCCGCUUGUGCAAGGGAUCAUCCGGUGAGAAGCCCUGGGCCCAUUCCUCAGGCUUGAGGGGAUGGGGCCGGCCCGGCUUUGAGGUGAUACAGGGAUUGUUGCAGGAGUCGGAGCUUGCGCCUGGGGAGCGGCCCAAACUUCCGUGCAUCCUCCAUCCCUGCGAUUAGAAGUCUGAGGCCUUUUGGAUCUGCACCGGCAAAAUUUCCCUGGUGUAGCCGGGCCUCCAGAGAGCCCCGACAGGUUCUAGGAGUGCCCAGAACCACAAGGGUCCUUUGGAUGGGCAGUCAUGCUGCCCUGAACUGGGGGGGGGUCUUCCCUGCUGAGCUGGACUAUUGGGCAGCUAACACUGCCCACUCCUUCCACCAUGCCGGGGAAAGAGAGCUCUUAAGCUAAGAGACCACAGCCCCCCUUCAGACCCUGGGACAUUCCAGCCCCCUCUCCCUUAUUGCAGCAACAUCAGGUUCUUCCUCGGAGCCCCCCGCAGGCUCAGUCUAUGGGGCAGAAAGGGAGGACUCCGACGGGGAGAGGGAGGCACAGAGCUGGUAGCCGUGGUGUUUGCAGGUCCUGGGUUUGGGCCAACAGAGGCUUCUGGUCAUUCAUUCAUUCAUUCAAUCGUUUAUUGAGCAUAUACUCUAUGCAGAGCACUGUACUAAGUGCUUGGGAAACAACAAUGUAACUAUAAACAGAUCCAUUCCCUGCCCACAACCUGAGUUAAAAAGUCCAGAGGGGACAAGCUUCCUGCUCCACCCCCGCCCAGUGACCCCUACGUGUCUGGGCCCGGGGCCCUUCUACUCUGGAAUGGGGGCAGGGGGAGGUUCAACUUGGGGUGGUGUAGGGGUGUUUCUAUGGCCCGCUCUUGGUUGACCACACUCCCACCUUCACUGCAGGCUACAACUUGAAAUAGGUCUAACAGACCUGAAAACUCCUGCCCUCUCAGGACAUCUCACUGGGGACACUGCACAGCCGCCCUCUCCCCAUCUCUGUGACCCCCGACCUGCUGAACUGCUCCUCCUCGUCCAGCUUCCAGCCCUUUCCACUGGCUCAUCAGGGAAUAAAGUGCCUGGUCUUUGCAGUGUGGACUAGCUCUGGGCAGGGCUGCCUCACGCCUCUUCCUUUGCUUAAUAAAUCAUCCUGGUCAGCUCUGUGACUUCCUGAACCCCAGAAUGGGCUGGGUGGGGGCUGUGAGGGGACAGCAGGAGGCAUUGGGCCUCACUGGGUUCAGCUCGCAGGCCCUUCCCACCUCUCAGACCUUGCCCUGGGUUUGUCUGCCUCUUCAGGGGGCUCCUUCUGCCCCUGUGUGGUUGGAGGUUCUGUGAAACAGGCCUGGCACUUAGCCCAAGGACCAGGGGCUCCAUCUGCAGCCCCUGAAGCUCCUGCACCGGUCUACCCAUUUCUCUCCAGGCCUGGUCCACAUUUAUUCAUUCGUCCAUUCAUUCAAUCACUUACCUAGUGCAGAGCCCUGUACUAAGCACUUGGGACAGUACAACACAAUAAUAAACAAUCACAUUCUCUGCCCGCAACAAGCUUACCCUGUUCUCUUAGGCCCCCUUUCCUAAUUUCUGGGGCCCUUGCAUCACCAAGAAAAUCCUACUCCCAGGUGAGAGUGAGGCAGGGACCCCCAGCCCCCCACCAUCACCCCACAGUUCAGUCAGAGCCCGGGCAGGCCUCAUUUUACAGCCACCACCGUCCUUCCUGGAUCGGGCAGAGACUUCUCACUCCAAAGAGGCUGCAGGGUCUGUCUGUCUCAUUCACUCAUUCAUUCAAUAGUAUUUAUUGAGCGCUUACUAUGUGCAAAACACUGUACUAAGCGCUUGGAAUGGACAAUUGGGCGACAGAGACCAUCCCUGCCCAAUGACGGGCUCACAGUCUAAACGGGGGAGACAGACGGCAAAGCAAAACAGACUGUAAGCUUGCUGUGGGCAGGAUAUGUGUCUGCUUCUUUGUUGCAGUGUACUUUCCCAAGCGCUUAGUACAGUGCUCUGCUCACAGUAAGCGCCUAAUAAAUACG